CCUACGGGAGGCAGCAGUGGGGAAUAUUGGGCAAUGGAGGAGACUCUGACCCAGCAAUGCCGCGUGAAUGAAGAAAGUCUUCUGAUUGUAAAGUUCUUUAGUCAGGGAAGAAUACCAUGACGGUACCUGAAGAAUAAGCUCCGGCUAACUACGUGCCAGCAGCCGCGGUAAUACGUAGGGCGCAAGCGUUGUUCAGAAUGGCUGGGCGUAAAGGGUGCGUAGGCGGUUAUACAAGUUAGAAGUGAAAUACCCAGGGCUUAACCCGGGUGCUGCUUCUAAAACUGUAAGACUUGAGUGCAGGAGAGGUUAGUGGAAUUCCUAGUGUAGCGGUGGAAUGCGUAGAUAUUAGGAGGAACACCAGAGGCGAAGGCGGCUAACUGGAGUGCAACUGACGCUGAGGCACGAAAGUGUGGGGAGCAAACAGGAUUAGAUACCCUAGUAGUC
rnacentral:rRNA from 1 species